CAGCCGCCGCGGUAAUGCGAAGGGUGCAAGCGUUAAUCGGAAUUACUGGGCGUAAAGCGUGCGUAGGCGGUGAGUUAAGUCUGCUGUGAAAUCCCCGGGCUCAACCUGGGAAUGGCAGUGGAUACUGGCUCGCUAGAGUGUGUCAGAGGAUGGUGAAAUUCCCGGUGUAGCGGUGAAAUGCGUAGAGAUCGGGAGGAACAUCAGUGGCGAAGGCGGCCAUCUGGGACAACACUGACGCUGAGGCACGAAAGCGUGGGGAGCAAACAGGAUUAGAUACCCCCGUAGUCCCUGUCUCUUAUAC
rnacentral:rRNA from 1 species